UACGUAGGGUCCGAGCGUUGUCCGGAAUUAUUGGGCGUAAAGAGCUCGUAGGCGGUUUGUCGCGUCUGCUGUGAAAUCCCGAGGCUCAACCUCGGGCCUGCAGUGGGUACGGGCAGACUUGAGUGGUGUAGGGGAGACUGGAAUUCCUGGUGUAGCGGUGGAAUGCGCAGAUAUCAGGAGGAACACCGAUGGCGAAGGCGGCUAUCUGGCCCGUAAUUGACGCUGAGGCGCGAAAGCGUGGGGAGCAAACAGG
rnacentral:rRNA from 1 species